UUCUGAAUCUUAAACCACCAUGAGUUCUAGACUUCUAGUUAUUAAAGUUGUGGUUCUUAAAUUCUUCUACUCGGUGUCAUAUCAUAUCUCAUAUAACUAACAGAGCUUUGUGGGUUUUGUUGUCUGACAGUAGAGAAGAUGGGGAGGGGACCUUGUUAUGGUAAAGAUGGAGUAAAUAAAGCACCUUGAACUCCUGAAGAAGACCAACUCUUGGUUUAGUACAUUCAAAAACCUGGUCUUGGUUGCUGGCGUAGCCUCCCUAAGAACACAGUGGCUUUGGCGUGGAUUUUGAAAGGCAAAUUGCCUUUCUUGAUGGCAGGUGCACUGUUGGAAGGGGUAGUGAACGCAAUAACGACACCAAUUGAGAGGGAAAAGGUGUUGAUAUCUACUCACUGGCCACUCUUCUACUGUCUGGGCACUUGCUUUUGAUGCUGAAGGAAACAGAAUGAUUACCUGUAGAGAUGAUCUUGCACUAAAAAUAUGGGAAACAGAUGUUGAAAGGAUGUGUAAGCGGAUGUGUAAUCGGGUGAUGAUUUUGCAGAGAUGAUCUUGAAGGAUGUGUAAUCGGAUGUGUAAUCGGGUGAUGAUUUUGCAGAGAUGAUCUUGCACUAAAAAUAUGGGAAACAGAUGUUGAAAGGAUGUGUAAUCGGGUGAUGAGCUUGCGUCUUGGUGAGAAACAUGUUCUUUAUGUAUACUGGAUAUUCUACUCCUCGUUUUACUACAGCAGAUUGAAAUGUUCCAUGGACGAGAACAGUACUACCUUAGAGGAUAAUGUAAGUAAUUCUCAUCUUAGUUAAUGAUCAAUUGCAGGAUGCCUGUGUUAGAAA